GGUCCAAUGGUCUAGUGGUAUGAUUGUCGCUUCGGGUGAACUGGGUUUCUAGCCCAUCCCUCCGCAGUUACUGCGGAAUGAUUGUGACAGGUAUGUGACCUUCCCGAUACGCCAUUGACGAUGAUACUGAUAUAAUCCAAGGCCCCGCGUUCGAAUCGCGGUUGGACCC